GAUGAACGCUGGCGGCGUGCCUAAUACAUGCAAGUCGAGCGAAUGGAUUAAGAGCUUGCUCUUAUGAAGUUAGCGGCGGACGGGUGAGUAACACGUGGGUAACCUGCCCAUAAGACUGGGAUAACUCCGGGAAACCGGGGCUAAUACCGGAUAACAUUUUUAACCGCAUGGUUCGAAAUUGAAAGGCGGCUUCGGCUGUCACUUAUGGAUGGACCCGCGUCGCAUUAGCUAGUUGGUGAGGUAACGGCUCACCAAGGCAACGAUGCGUAGCCGACCUGAGAGGGUGAUCGGCCACACUGGGACUGAGACACGGCCCAGACUCCUACGGGAGGCAGCAGUAGGGAAUCUUCCGCAAUGGACGAAAGUCUGACGGAGCAACGCCGCGUGAGUGAUGAAGGCUUUCGGGUCGUAAAACCCUGUUGUUAGGGAAGAACAAGUGCUAGUUGAAUAAGCUGGCACCUUGACGGUACCUAACCAGAAAGCCACGGCUAACUACGUGCCAGCCGCCGCCGUAA
rnacentral:rRNA from 1 species